CUCAAUGUAUUCUAAAGUUUCUUCAACCUUGGAAAGAAAUAUGCUAGUCAAAGGAACCUUCUCUCCCCUUCGUGGGCAGGUGGCGGCUGUAUGUGUGGAUCGUGUGCUUUUAUACUUUAUGGACAUGUAGAGACAUCCCACAUUGACCAUCUACAUAAAAUAAGGUGUAAUACUAUAAAUUCGUAUGCUUUUACCCUUCUUCCCUUAUUGCUUCCUUAGCUCCAAAGGCAUUCUAGGAGGAUCUAAUGAACAUUCCAGCCUUUCUCCAAUUGAGUUGUCACGUGGCGACAUACUAUUCGCCCACUCCAAAUCACCUACCCACUAUUUUUUUGGGGGGGUUUUUUCUACAGCAAUUCUCUUGUUCUUUCAAGAUUAUCAUCAAGUCAUUGGUUGAUUGAUUUUUUUUUUUCAAAAAUUCGAUUUGCAAUCAAGGAUUAAUGGCCGAGGACUCAACCAUCCACUAGAACAAGAAAGGUGAUAUCUUUGUAUUAAAGAUCGAAUUGAUGAUGUACAGCGACCAAAUUGUCAGUCAAGCCAUGUUUUUCAGACAAAGGACAUGAAGAAAUGAAAUGAAAGGGACGGGACAUUGGUGAAAAAAAUAAAACACAUUUUUAGGUGGUUAGACUGCAAAAUCAAAAGGGUCCCGCUUGAUUAAAUUUACGAACAAAACACCUAUCACGAAACUAUUGGUCAGCGAAUAAAUCCACAUGUGGAUCAUGUGAAACAGAGGUCCAUCCUGGGUCCACGAAGUUCCCAUCAACCCUAACCAUUGAUUUUGUGGGCCAAAAUCAUGUGAUUAGAUUGAUAAUGAUCGAUUUAACAUGCCAAAUCUCUCUCUCUCUCUCUCUCUCUCUCAAUUAAGCCAAAUUGGGUCUUUAUCACGAUUUUACUCGGAAAGGGCCGAAGGAGUCAGUUUUGCUCGCCGAGUUCAAUGGGAAACCAAAUGAAGCUCGUUGAAAUUAUAUAAUAUAGUCAGCCACGACGCCCACCAGAUGAUUAAUUUAAUUUAAUUUAAUUUAAUUUUUAAUUUUUAUUUACCUAAUCAUACACAAUAAGCAGUAAUUUGAGCACAAUGACGAUGUCAGGGCAAUAAAGAUGAUUAACGUUGUUAUUCUAGAAAAUAAAACAACUUUUAAUUAGAUUAGCAAUGCACUAAUAAGUGCUUAUAUUUAAUAUCAUACAUGGUCAUAAAAACAAUCAUGAAUGCCAUGAUCUAUAAAUGAUUUUAUUACGAAGAAGUUCAAUGAAUGAUGCUGUAAACAUUGCCCUUGAAAAGAGUGGCGCUCCAUAAAAAUUGGUCCAUUGCUUAGAAAGUGAUACUCAUUGUAUGUCAAUAUUAUUACUGUUGUUCCUGUUAUAUACAUGCUCUAGAAAAUAAUAAUAAUAAUGACAAAUUUCGAGUUUGUGAUAAGGAUUUGAGAUGAUUAUAAAUUUGUAUUCAUUCUUUUAGAAGAUUUUUUUUUUUAUUGGGAAAACUGCUUCGAAUUUGAUUAAUUGACCUACUGCAUCAAAUUCUUUUCAUGAAAAUUAUUAAAAUAUAAAGGGUUUUCUUAUACCUAUAUUUUCAUGAAACUCAACCUUACAACAUAAAUGAAUGGACCUCUAAAAAGAUCAUCACUUAAAGGUAGGAUUAGGAUAAAAUAAUAUAUUAGAAGAGAAAGUACAAUAUCCUUU
rnacentral:lncRNA from 1 species